AAAAAUAAAGAAUGUAGGGGCUCGCCCCCCUCGAAUCGCCCCUUUGGUGUGAGCUCUUUUCGGUUCCGCGCGCCGGCUCGCCCCUUUAGAGGGACCCACCACAAACACAUUGCACUACAAGAAGUACCCUUUAUGAACAAAACAAAACAAUACUAUUUACAACUUUCUAUAACGGAUCUCUUGGUUCUGGCAUCAAAGAAGAACG
rnacentral:rRNA from 1 species